UCGCCGUCGUUCUCUCUUAA
rnacentral:siRNA from 1 species